rnacentral:rRNA from 1 species
CAGCAGGCGCGCAAAUUACCACUCCCGAACUGGGGAGGUAGUGACGAGAAUUAUCGGUCUUACUCUUUGAGCAAAAGACCGGAAUGGACGAAAUUCAGGUCCAUUCGUGAAAACUAGCGAGGGGCAAGUCUGGUGCCAGCAGCCGCGGUAAUUCCAGCCUCGCAUGUAAAUGUAAAAUUUGUUGCAUUUAAAAAGCUCGUAGUCGGACAGUUUCACGACACUUUGUUCAAAGCCAGCUGCAACUCGGCUAGCCAGUUACGAAGGGUUUUGAACUGGUCAAUUAGUCGUUGCAACUGGAUGAAUAGUCGUGAACAAUCACAAGUUUCGCUUAUACACUUAAUUGUGUGUAGGACUGAAAAUUUGUGGACGUACCUUGAACAAAUCGGUUUGUUCAAAACAGGCCAUAUUGAGCGCCUGGACAUUCGAGCAUGGAAUGAUCGAUCGAGACCUGAUCGUUUGGUCGGAAACGAGUAAGGUCCAGGUCAAAAGGGACAUUUGGGGGCAUACGAACUCGGCAGCGAGAGGUGAAAUUCUAAGACCUGCCGAG